GGCUACAGUGGUGUAGUGGUUAGCACGCUCGCCUCGCACCCACAAGAUUGCUGGUUCAAGUCCACUCUCUGCCC